GGGAAGAGGACGGAGGGAGAGGAUGAUGAAGCCGCAGCACGGGGCGCCCGCCGGCGGCGGCGGCGGCCACGGGCACGGGCGGAGGGCCCCGUUCCUGACCUCGUACGCGCUCACGCUCGCCUUCAUCACCUUCGUCUCCGUCCUCUACUUCA